rnacentral:rRNA from 1 species
AAUCAACGCUGGCGGCGUGCCUAACACAUGCAAGUCGAACGCGAACGAGGGCUUCGGCCCUCAAGUAGAGUGGCGCACGGGUGAGUAACACGUGGGUAAUCUACCUGAUGGUGGGGAAUAACCCUGCGAAAGCAGGGCUAAUACCGCAUAAGGCUGAGCCGACUUAGGCCGGUUCAGUUAAAGCUGGGGACCCUUCGGGGCCUGGCGCCAGCAGAGGAGCCUGCGGCCGAUUAGCUAGUUGGCGAGGUAAAGGCUCACCAAGGCGAUGAUCGGUAGC